GUACCUGCGGGGACAUGGGGGGGGGGGAGACCCCCGUGGCAUGGGGUCGGGGGUGCCCCACUGUGUGGUUUUGGGGAGCAGGGCGCCCCUCCUGUAACACCGUUCUGGCUGGAGGCAGCACCGAGUGAGCAACCCCCCCGGUCAGCCCCCAAUUUCCCCUCCCCUGUGCGCCCCCCACUCCUCUCCCUGCGGCCGUGACCAAGUGGCUGUGUCCGGGGAGCUCCCUGCUCAGCAGCAAUAAUGGGAUAUUGUUCACAUCCCGUUAUUAACAUCCCGUUAUGGUUAAUAUCCCGUUAAUAGAUGGCAGAGCUGCAGCAAAGCUGAGCCCCAGCCGGAGGGCUCGUGCCAAAGCCACCACUGGGUGCAAAUCCCGAGGCUGCUGCAUGAACGGGGUGAGGGCGCUGUGAUUUGUGGGUGCCUGUUUGGUGGGGAAAACACAGAAUUGGUCUUCUCACCCCAAAAAAGCUGCUUUGUUGGAGCGCAAAAACUCCCGGAUGCCUAACCACCACCAGCAGGGAAGCUUGGCUCACAAACACUCAAAGUUUUCUCAGCUUUCUGGCUAAAUCUGCCCUGUUUUCACCUUCCCCACUUCAGUCCCUUCUCGCCCUCCAGCCAGAGCCAGGGGAACCCACCCCGAAGGCUCCGAGCCCCUCCUGGGGCUACUGCUCUGGGCCCUGCUCCAUCCCCACAGGGCCCGAGGCUGCUUUUACGGCACGACGUAUCUAUGGAAACUCAUUUUUUCUAAAACAAGCCCCCUGCCACGUCCUGCCCCUGUCCAUUUCAGCAGGCGCAAGCACUUUCCAUCCCGGUGCCAGGCCACGAGAUGAUGUAGAGGAGCAGGUAGUUGCCGAAGAUGCCGACGAGGACGACGAGGGCGUAGCAGGGGAUGAUGAGGGGCUUGAAGGACUGGAUGAGCUGCACCCCGGUGAACUGCGCGCUGGCGUUGGGGCGGUUCUGCAGGGCGAGCUCGGAGGCGGUGGCGUUGGCCCCGUCCCUGCUGGGCUCCAUGGCCCCUUCGACCCUAACCAGCUCCCUGGGACGUCCUGGCCCCCCAAAACCUGUCAGUCGCAGGGUUCAGGUGGCCGUGGGGCGCAUCCUGCUCCUCCUCACGGCUGUGCCACCCCGAGGGGUCCUGCCCCACACCAGGCUGGGGACCAGGGGGGGCUCCCCGGGGUGGUGGCUCCUCGCUGCGGCUCCCUGGGAGAUGGGAAACGAGGGUCAGAAAGGAGGCGACGCUGGCAAACGGCCCCCUAGGAGAGGCAGCACGGGGUUGAGCAGCGCCCACGGCUCUGUGGGGAGAAGGAAAAAGGGGGAAAAGCGGCAGGUCAGCCCCGAGGAGGAGGCACUCACCUGCAGCCCGAGCGUCGCGGCGAGCCCCUCCUGCGCCCAGCCGCUGCGCACGGGCAGCUCCUGGCAGCAGCAGCCGAGCCCGAAAGUCGCUCCUGAUGCCUCUGGAAAUCGCAGGGGACGUUAAUGGGGAAAUGGAUACGGAUGCGCUGCCACUUCUGCGCUCAAUGAAGCCUCGUGCGCCCCUAACGAGCUCAGCCGCGCUCUCCUACGAGGUCGGCGCCGGCAGCAGCCCGGCUGGACUCGCCUUUCUGCUGCGAUUCCAGCGGCUCCACCGAGGUGUUCCCACAGCACCCCGCUCUCAUUUCAUCCGCUCUGAAGAAGGGGCAGGGGGCGAGGAGGGAAUCCGAGGCAAAAUCCAGGGCAAAAAAAGCAGAGCGGCGGCGGGCAGAGCCCGGGACGAGCGGGUCCCGGUGCGCCCCAGGCGCAGCCCUGCCUCCCGCACGCGUCCCCUCCCUCCCCUGCUGCCCACUGAAUCAUCCCCGAACGCGCUGCAGGCAAACUUUAAUUUCCCGAGCUAUUUCCAUGCAUUAUCUCCCACUCUGGCAGCGCAGGACUCGUAGCCGCGUUCCUUUCUCUCUGUGCCAGCCGUUGUUUUACGUGCCCAACUUCCCCAGCACAAACCCCGCCGCAGGUUUUGAGUCUCCAGUGGAAACGAGCAGAGAAUUGCAGCCAGCCUCGGAGCUUUGCAGGGCUGCCCAGAAGCUCCUCGCAAGCUCGGCAGCCCGAAUUUGCAUUAAUUCUGGGUUUGGGUCAGCUCCCAUGCGCCCUGCCUGCUUCGCCCCACACCUUGGUAGGGCACCCCACCACGAAGGGAGCAUCUGGAGACAGAACAAAAGGCAGCCCUGAUCCCUGCACCGAUGGCAAUAUCUCACACUGCAGGCUCCUCCAAGGUUUUGGGUCACAAUCUGUUGUUUUCAUCAGUUUUAGAGGAGCUUUUACCUCAAAUGGAGCAGCUUCUGUAUUAAAAUUUCACUCUUACUGUCCCGUUCCCUGCUAGAAGUACUCUCCACCAUUCUCCACAGAAAGUCUUUAAUCCCCCAGCACUCAGAACAUGAGAUCCUGGUUUUGUGUCCCAGGCUGGCGUUAAUUUAAUAAAAAUUAAAUAUCCGU